rnacentral:lncRNA from 1 species
AGGGGGCUUGUCGGAAAGAUUCUUCUUAUAAGAGGGGGGCUCGACCUUUGACCCCAGCAUGUGACCUCACUUCCUUGGCGAUGGGUCCAAACAGAACUUGGAACCCAGCACUCAACUGCCUCCCCGGUCACUUGGCUGGAGACAGUUAGCAGCGAACAUGCUGUGUUGCUUUCCCAGACCUCAAGGCCGAAGGCCCAGGACCCCACGAAAGGAAAACACUUGGCAACGAGUGAGAGGAUGGUUCACUUGCCCCAGAUGCCUCAGGACACUAUCUAGAAACCGCCCAAACACCAUGGGCAACACAGGGCAGGACCCCAAGUGCCCAGAGGCGAGAGGAAGCCCAGGACAGGUAUCCCCAGGCUCAACCCUUAGCCGCUCGAAGUCACUGAGUCCAGGACAGGUCCAUGGAUGGGACACUACUAUGGGAACCCAGUCCGCAGAGAGCCUGGCAGACCUUGGCACAGUGAGCACGGUGCAGGCAGGGCCGCCCCACACCAUGAUGGAGUCCGUGGAGCCGGACUUUCCGGAGAGGAAGAGCAGGUCUGCCUCUUCCAUUCCUGAAUCCUCACCGGAGCUGAUAUCCCAGGUGGAUCCCCAGGAUGACCUUCUCCUGAACCAGCUGGAGCCUCCUGAGCCCACUGAGGCAGAGCUCCACGGUGAGAGGACUGUAGAAUGGGCCUGGGGGGAGGAGAUGGGCCUUGAAACACUGCAAGGCUUUGAGCUGCUCAGGGACCCAGGAACACUGAGACACUGGGCAGUCAGUGUGGGGAUGCAGGCUGGGAGG